rnacentral:tRNA from 1 species
GACUCGUUAGCUCAGUUGGUAGAGCAAUUGACUUUUAAUCUAUGGGUCACUGGUUCGAGCCCAGUACGGGUCA